GGUUCAUUACAUAGAGUGAAUAGAUUGUAAUGGGGAAGAGAAGAUUUCUUUCCAAAUUUGUAUUACAUAGCGAUCUUCAGACUUGAGGUUUUUAGCCCAGAGGGCGGCUUCAUGUAUACAUCGCUGUAGGCAUGAGGUGAUGGAGGGAGUUUGCCCUCUGAAGACAACAUCAUGCCUAUGAUUCCACAGUGCCCAAAAACAGAGUAGAUAAAAGACUUGAUAGUGCAGAAUUGGUAUUCGUGAACCUGGCUUGUGCUGAUGGAACUGAGCCACAUCCUGGAUCAUCGGUUGAACCCCAAUUUUAUCCCAAAAACUUUUAGCAAAGGGGCAAAAGAAGCACAGGUGGCUUGCUGUUUCAGUAGCGCCAUUGCAAAUGUCACAGAUGUCAUUUGGCACAAUUGUCUUCUUGUGUAGGUUUUUCUUUGUCGACAAACGAUCUUUUACUAGCAGCCAGGCGAAGAACUUCACUUUGAGGGGGGCUUUGCACUUCCAGAUGGCGUCCCAAAGGGGAGAAACGAUUCCCGGGUGAAGGAUUGUAGAGCCGCCUGUAGCCUUUGUAGUUCGAGAUUUGCGGUCACAGUAAGACGUGGAACAAGACUUGAGACUAAACCCCUCUGCAUGACAUUUCUGACAGUAUCAUCCUUGUUAAGGGCAUGAGUGUAUAGCGGCAUAAACACAUUUGCCAGGGCUGGCUUGGAGAUCCAGCAGUCAUGCCAGAAAGAAGUUCUAGCCCCAUCUCCCACUUGAACCGAAGUGAGGUGUUGUAACUCAGGUAUCAAUUUUUGCAUAGAGGACCAAUGCGGACCUAAUGGCAGAGAUUUUAGCAGAGAA